GAUGAACGCUGGCGGCGUGCCUAAUACAUGCAAGUCGAGCGAACAGACGAGGAGCUUGCUCCUCUGACGUUAGCGGCGGACGGGUGAGUAACACGUGGAUAACCUACCUAUAAGACUGGGAUAACUUCGGGAAACCGGAGCUAAUACCGGAUAAUAUAUUGAACCGCAUGGUUCAAUAGUGAAAGACGGUUUUGCUGUCACUUAUAGAUGGAUCCGCGCCGCAUUAGCUAGUUGGUAAGGUAACGGCUUACCAAGGCAACGAUGCGUAGCCGACCUGAGAGGGUGAUCGGCCACACUGGAACGGAGACACGGUCCAGACUCCUACGGGAGGCAGCAGUAGGGAAUCUUCGGCAGUGGGCGAAAGCCUGACGGAGCAACGCCGCGUGAGUGAUGAAGGUCUUCGGAUCGUAAAACUCUGUUAUUAGGGAAGAACAAAUGUGUAAGUAACUAUGCACGUAUUGACGGUACCUAAUCAGAAAGCCACGGCUAACUACGUG
rnacentral:rRNA from 1 species